GGUGAGUUCGCUCAGUGGUUAGAGCGUAGGUCUCGUAACCGAAAGGUCUCGGGAUCGAAUCCCGCUAGAGGCUG
rnacentral:tRNA from 1 species